AGUGGAAGCUUGUGCUCAGGCUUUCAGGUGCGGAGGAAGGUACCCCUCCGCCAGCACCCAUCCUGCGGAUGGGGAACCUGUUACGGAGCAGCGAAGGCGUGAGGCUUUGCCCUCCACAAUAGCGCAAGCU
rfam:Firmicutes bacterium CAG:94 genomic scaffold, scf215